rnacentral:tRNA from 1 species
GGUUCUUGUAGUUGAAGUAACAACGGUGGUUUUUCAAGUCGCUGGUCUCGGUUAGAGUCCGAGCAGGAAU